rnacentral:rRNA from 1 species
AGUGAACGCUGGCGGUAGGCCUAACACAUGCAAGUCGAACGGCAGCACAGUAAGAGCUUGCUCUUACGGGUGGCGAGUGGCGGACGGGUGAGGAAUACAUCGGAAUCUACUUUUUCGUGGGGGAUAACGUAGGGAAACUUACGCUAAUACCGCAUACGACCUACGGGUGAAAGCAGGGGAUCUUCGGAACUUGCGCGAUUGAAUGAGCCGAUGUCGGAUUAGCUAGUUGGCGGGGUAAAGGCCCACCAAGGCGACGAUCCGUAGCUGGUCUGAGAGGAUGAUCAGCCACACUGGAACUGAGACACGGUCCAGACUCCUACGGGAGGCAGCAGUGGGGAAUAUUGGACAAGUGGCGCAAGCCUAAUCCAGCCAUACCGCGUGGGUGAAGAAGGCCUUCGGGUUGUAAAGCCCUUUUGUUGGGAAAGAAAAACAGCAGGUUAAUACCCCGCUGUUCUGACGGUACCCAAAGAAUAAGCACCGGCUAACUUCGUG